GAGUUUGAUCUUGGCUCAGAUUGAACGCUGGCGGCAUGCCUUACACAUGCAAGUCGAACGGCAGCACGGGAGCUUGCUCCUGGUGGCGAGUGGCGAACGGGUGAGUAAUGCAUCGGAACGUAUCCUGGAGUGGGGGAUAACGUAGCGAAAGUUACGCUAAUACCGCAUAUUCUGUGAGCAGGAAAGCGGGGGACCUUCGGGCCUCGCGCUCUUGGAGCGGCCGAUGUCGGAUUAGCUAGUUGGUGAGGUAAAGGCUCACCAAGGCGACGAUCCGUAGCAGGUCUGAGAGGAUGAUCUGCCACACUGGAACUGAGACACGGUCCAGACUCCUACGGGAGGCAGCAGUGGGGAAUUUGGGCAAUGGACGCAAGUCUGACCCAGCAACGCCGCGUGAAGGAAGAAGGCUUUCGGGUUGUAAACUUCUUUGACAGGGAAGAGUAGAAGACGGUACCCUGAAACAAGCCACGGCUAACUACGUGCCAGCCGCCGCGGUAAC
rnacentral:rRNA from 1 species